rnacentral:rRNA from 1 species
AGGGUUGCUACACAGCGAUGUGAUGCUAAUCUCAAAAAGCCGAUCGUAGUCCGGAUUGGAGUCUGCAACUCGACUCCAUGAAGUCGGAAUCGCUAGUAAUCGCGGAUCAGAAUGCCGCGGUGAAUACGUUCCCGGGCCUUGUACACACCGCCCGUCACACCAUGGGAGUUUGUUGCACCAGAAGUAGCUAGCCUAACUGCAAAGAGGGCGGUUACCACGGUGUGGCCGAUGACUGGGGUGAAGUCGUAACAAGGUAGCCGUAGGGGAACCUGCGGCUGGAUCACCUCCUUA